GACGAACGCUGGCGGCGUGCCUAAUACAUGCAAGUCGAGCGGACUGAUUCAGCUCUUGCUCUUAGCACGUUAGCCGCGGACGUGUGAGUCACACGUGUACACCCUGCCCUGUAUAUCGAUAUCUCCCCGAGACAUCGGCUCUAAUACCGUGUAAUCUCUGAGUUCACGUUAUCUUAUGGUAAAAGUCGGCGGUGGCUGACAGUAUCGCGUGUUAUCAGCUUGUUGUAGGGGUAGUGGCUUACCAAGGCUUUGACGGGCAGCCGGCCUGAGAGGGUGACCGGCCACAUUGGGACUGAGAUACGGCCCAGACUCCUACGGGAGGCAGCAGUGGGGAAUAUUGCACAAUGGGCGGAAGCCUGAUGCAGCAACGCCGCGUGCGGGAUGACGGCCUUCGGGUUGUAAACCGCUUUCGCCUGUGACGAAGCGUGAGUGACGGUAAUGGGUAAAGAAGCACCGGCUAACUACGUG
rnacentral:rRNA from 1 species